rnacentral:rRNA from 1 species
UACGUAGGGACCAAGCGUUGUUCGGAUUUACUGGGCGUAAAGGGCGCGUAGGCGGCAAUUCAAGUCAUCUGUGAAAUCUCCGGGCUUAACCCGGAACGGUCAGAUGAUACUGCUUUGCUAGAGUGCGGAAGGGGCAAUCGGAAUUCUUGGUGUAGCGGUGAAAUGCGUAGAUAUCGUAAGGAAGACCAGUGGCGAAGGCGGGUCUCUGGACAGUUCCUGACGCUGAGGCACGAAGGUCAGGGGAGCAAACGGG